rnacentral:rRNA from 1 species
GUAGCUAAUACCGAAUAAGGUCAAUUGAGGUGUUAAUUGAUGAAAGGAAGCCUUUAAAGCUUCGCUUGUAGAUGAGUCUGCGUCUUAUUAGCUAGUUGGUGGGAUAAGAGCCUACCAAGGCUAUGAUAAGUAACCGGCCUGAGAGGGUGAUCGGUCACACUGGAACUGAGAUACGGUCCAGACUCCUACGGGAGGCAGCAGCUAAGAAUCUUCCGCAAUGGGCGAAAGCCUGACGGAGCGACACUGCGUGAACGAAGAAGGUCGAAAGAUUGUAAAGUUCUUUUAUAAGUGAGGAAUAAGCUUUGUAGGAAAUGACAAAGUGAUGACGUUAAUUUAUGAAUAAGCCCCGGCUAAUUACGUGCCAGCAGCCGCGGUAAUACGUAAGGGGCGAGCGUUGUUCGGGAUCAUUGGGCGUAAAGGGUGAGUAGGCGGAUAUGCAAGUCUAUGUGUAAAAUACCACAGCUCAACUGUGGAACUAUGCUGGAAACUGCAUGACUAGAGUCUGAUAGGGGAAGUUAGAAUUCCUGGUGUAAGGGUGGAAUCUGUUGAUAUCAGGAAGAAUACCAGAGGCGAAGGCGAACUUCUAGGUCAAGACUGACGCUGAGUCACGAAAGCGUAGGGAGCAAACAGGAUUAGAUACCCUGGUAGUCUACGCUGUAAACGAUGCACACUUGGUGUUAAUCGAAAGGUUAGUACCGAAGCUAACGUGUUAAGUGUGCCGCCUGGGGAGUAUGUUCGCAAGAAUGAAACUCAAAGGAAUUGACGGGGGCCCGCACAAGCGGUGGAGCAUGUGGUUUAAUUCGAUGAUACGCGAGGAACCUUACCAGGGCUUGACAUAUACAGGAUAUAGUUAGAGAUGACUAUUCCCCGUUUGGGGUCUGUAUACAGGUGCUGCAUGGUUGUCGUCAGCUCGUGCCGUGAGGUGUUGGGUUAAGUCCCGCAACGAGCGCAACCCUUAUUGUCUGUUACCAGCAUGUAAAGAUGGGGACUCAGACGAGACUGCCGGUGAUAAGCCGGAGGAAGGUGAGGAUGACGUCAAAUCAUCAUGGCCCUUAUGUCCUGGGCUACACACGUGCUACAAUGGCCUGUACAAAGCGAUGCGAAACAGUGAUGUGAAGCAAAACGCAGAAAGCAGGUCUCAGUCCAGAUUGAAGUCUGAAACUCGGCUUCAUGAAGUUGGAAUCGCUAGUAAUCGUA